GAUGAACGCUGGCGGCGUGCUUAACACAUGCAAGUCGAGCGAAGCACUUAGGAAAGAUUCUUCGGAUGAUUUCCUAUUUGACUGAGCGGCGGACGGGUGAGUAACGCGUGGGUAACCUGCCUCAUACAGGGGGAUAACAGUUAGAAAUGACUGCUAAUACCGCAUAAGACCACAGCACCGCAUGGUGCAGGGGUAAAAACUCCGGUGGUAUGAGAUGGACCCGCGUCUGAUUAGUUAGUUGGUGGGGUAACGGCCUACCAAGGCGACGAUCAGUAGCCGACCUGAGAGGGUGACCGGCCACAUUGGGACUGAGACACGGCCCAAACUCCUACGGGAGGCAGCAGUGGGGAAUAUUGCACAAUGGGGGAAACCCUGAUGCAGCGACGCCGCGUGAGCGAAGAAGUAUUUCGGUAUGUAAAGCUCUAUCAGCAGGGAAGAAAAUGACGGUACCUGACUAAGAAGCCCCGGCUAACUACGUGCCAGCCGCCGCGGUAA
rnacentral:rRNA from 1 species